rnacentral:tRNA from 1 species
UACAAGGGAGAAAAAGGACCAUUUUGAUGGAGUGGAAAAUGCAAUUUUUGAUUGCCUUUGUUA